rnacentral:rRNA from 1 species
UACAGGGGGUGCAAGCGUUGCUCGGAUUUACUGGGCGUAAAGCGUGCGCAGGCGGCCAGAUAAGUCGGGUGUGAAAUCCCGGAGCUCAACUCCGGAACUGCAUUCGAAACUGCCUGGCUUGAGUACGGGAGAGGGAAGUGGAAUUCUCGGUGUAGAGGUGAAAUUCGUAGAUAUCGAGAGGAACACCAGUGGCGAAAGCGACUUCCUGGCCCGAUACUGACGCUCAUGCACGAGAGCAUGGGGAGCAAACAGGAUUAGAUACCCUGUAGU